ensembl:rRNA 5S_rRNA 5S ribosomal RNA
AAAAGCAGCCAUAUCACCCUGCAACUCACAACUGGCAACCCACUGGAGCUCAGCAGGUGUGAGCCUGGUCAGUACCUGGAUGGGAGACCUCCUGGGAAAAACUAAGGUUGCUGCUGGAA